UCACGUCAACGCUUCCGACGUCAAGCGCACGGGCUUCGAGGAAGUUCCACGUCACACUUGUCUGCCGUGCACAAAACUGCAGCCGAAAAACACAUCAGACUCUCGGUGGAUGAUAUAAAAUACUACAGGUGAAGGAGACCAAAACCAGCAAACAUGCCUCUGAGGCUGGACAUCAAGCGCAAACUCACGGCUCGAUCCGACCGUGUCAAAAGCGUAGACCUUCAUCCGUCCGAGCCAUGGAUGCUGGCCAGUCUGUACAAUGGCAGUGUCUGUGUGUGGAACCAUGAAACCCAGACUCUGGUUAAGACUUUUGAAGUCUGCGACCUUCCAGUAAGAGCUGCCAAAUUUGUUGCCAGGAAAAAUUGGGUCAUUACUGGUGCUGAUGACAUGCAAAUUCGGGCUUUCAACUAUAACACACUAGAGCGAGUACACAUGUUUGAGGCCCAUUCAGAUUACAUUCGCUGCAUCGCUGUUCAUCCCACCCAGCCCUACAUCCUCACAAGCAGUGAUGACAUGUUGAUAAAGCUCUGGGACUGGGAGAAGAAAUGGUCCUGCAGUCAGGUGUUUGAGGGCCACACACACUACGUCAUGCAGAUUGUCAUCAACCCCAAAGACAACAACCAGUUUGCGAGUGCAUCGCUGGAUAGAACCAUCAAGGUUUGGCAGCUGGGCUCUUCCUCCCCUAACUUCACUCUGGAGGGCCAUGAUAAGGGGGUGAACUGCAUUGAUUAUUACAGUGGAGGAGAUAAACCUUACCUCAUAUCUGGAGCUGAUGACAGACUGGUCAAGAUUUGGGACUAUCAGAAUAAGACAUGUGUGCAGACGCUCGAGGGUCACGCUCAGAAUGUGUCCUGUGUAAACUUCCACCCAGAGCUGCCAAUCAUCAUCACGGGAUCAGAAGACGGCACGGUUCGUAUCUGGCACUCCAGCACUUAUCGUCUGGAGAGCACCCUGAACUAUGGUAUGGAGCGGGUGUGGUGUGUGUCUGGCUUGCGCGGAUCCAACAGUGUGGCAUUGGGCUAUGAUGAAGGCAGCAUCAUUAUCAAGCUCGGUCGUGAGGAGCCAGCCAUGUCAAUGGACACCAGUGGAAAAAUCAUUUGGGCCAAGCACUCUGAGAUUCAGCAGGCUAACCUCAAAGCCAUGGGAGAUGCUGAGAUCAAGGAUGGUGAGAGGCUGCCACUGGCAGUGAAAGACAUGGGCAGCUGUGAGAUCUACCCUCAAACCAUCCAGCACAAUCCUAAUGGAAGGUUUGUGGUGGUGUGUGGAGAUGGAGAGUACAUCAUCUACACCGCCAUGGCUCUGAGAAAUAAGAGCUUUGGGUCUGCACAGGAGUUUGUCUGGGCCCAUGAUUCAUCUGAGUACGCGAUUCGGGAAAGCAGCAGUUUGGUUAAGAUCUUUAAAAAUUUUAAAGAGAAAAAAUCUUUUAAACCAGACUUUGGAGCAGAAGGCAUCUAUGGUGGUUUCCUGCUGGGUGUCCGAUCAGCGAAUGGCUUGGCUUUCUAUGACUGGGAUAACACAGAGCUGAUUCGCCGCAUUGAGAUCCAGCCCAAACACAUUUUCUGGUCAGACUCCGGUGAGCUGGUGUGCAUUGCCACAGAGGAGUCUUUCUUCAUCCUGCGCUAUCUGUCAGAGAAGGUGGCCGCAUCACAGGAGUCAAAUGAGGGGAUUACUGAAGAUGGUAUUGAAGAUGCUUUUGAGGUCCUGGGAGAAAUUCAGGAAGUGGUAAAGACUGGUCUGUGGGUGGGAGACUGUUUCAUUUACACCAGCUCUGUCAACAGACUUAACUACUUUGUUGGAGGAGAGAUUGUCACAAUUGCUCACCUGGACAGAACCAUGUACCUUCUGGGAUACAUUCCAAAAGACGACCGUCUUUACCUGGGUGAUAAGGAGCUGAACAUAGUGAGUUUCUCUCUUCUGGUGUCUGUCCUGGAGUACCAGACUGCCGUCAUGCGCAGAGAUUUUGGUAUGGCAGACAAAGUGCUGCCCACCAUUCCGAAAGAACAGAGAACCAGAGUUGCCCACUUCCUGGAAAAACAGGGUUUCAAGCAGCAGGCUCUGGCCGUGUCCACUGAUCCAGAGCACCGGUUCGAGCUGGCGCUACAGUUAGGAGAGCUGAAAAUUGCUUAUCAGCUAGCAGUAGAAGCUGAGUCGGAGCAGAAGUGGAAGCAGCUGGCAGAGUUGGCCAUCAGUAAGUGCCAGUUUGGUUUGGCUCAGGAGUGUCUCCAUCAUGCCCAGGACUAUGGAGGACUGCUGCUGCUGGCCACUGCAUCUGGCAACGCCGCUAUGGUUGCCAAGCUUGCAGAGGGGGCAGAGCGUGACGGCAAAAACAAUGUUGCCUUCAUGACCUACUUCCUGCAGGGAAAACUGGACAACUGUUUGGAGCUUCUGAUCAAGACAAAUCGUCUACCAGAAGCAGCCUUUCUUGCCCGCACAUAUCUGCCCAGCCAAGUAUCCAGGGUGGUGAAGCUUUGGAGAGAGAGUUUGUCUAAAGUAAAUCAGAAGGCGGCUGAGUCUCUGGCAGACCCCACAGAGUAUGAGAACUUGUUCCCAGGUCUGAGAGAGGCCUUUGUGGCAGAGCAGUACCUGAGAGAGACCUGCCUUGGCCAAACAAGACCUGCCUCGGACUACCCACUGGUUACGCCCAAUGAAGAAAGAAAUGUGUUGGAAGAGGCCAGUGGUUACGAACCCAAAGGAAUUAUCCCCACUCCCAUGCAGGUGAAGACGCAGAGGAGGCCCCAGAGGAUGUGGGUGUUUUGGCCUCGGCGACGGCAGCUGUCUCGGCUCCAGUAGUUGCAGCAGAGUCUACUAUGAGUCAUGCAGAAUCCCAGCCUGCUCAGAAGGUUGAGGAGACACAGAAAGAGCCUCCCAAGACAACAGCGGCAGAACAGAAGAUUAUUGAUGAUCUGGAGGAUGAUUUGGAUAACAUGGAGCUUGAUGACAUUGACACCACAGACGUCAAUCUGGAUGACGACUUCUUAGAUGACUAAACCUUCAGCACUGAAAGCAUUGAGUUUAUUUAAGCGACCAAACCAUUUUUAUUUGUUCCUGUUAGACCUGCAGAGCUGAAGUCUAAGGUGAACUGGGCUGAAUAUAAAUACGUCUUUUAAGGCGUACCACCAAUGGAAAGACAAAGGAGAAAUGUGCUUUAUUGUUGGUGAAUAUAUAUAUUUUUUUGGACUUCAUUCUGGUUCUUCAAUUUACGUUUUACCCAUACAUCAAGGUAUAUGUUGAUUCUUGUGUGUUCAACCAUGAUAAAUCAUGGUGCCAUUAUUCCUAAUAAAGAUAACUGCUCUACUACAA